rnacentral:lncRNA from 1 species
GAAUCAGAUCAGAGCCGUAGAUUUUCUUGAUCAAGGUGACAGCAAUGUACGAUGAUGUCCUUGGAUACGAUUCAGAAGCUGGGAUGGAGCUUCUCCAAGAACGGGAAGCCCCAGGCCGAGUAAAAUACUUGCAUUAGUUCAGCAGCGGCGGUGGCUGCGGCAGAGCACGGUGGUAAACAAGCGCAGCAGCAAGGACGGCAGCGGAGGAUGAUGCCGUCAACAUUGCCGAGGUUUGCUCCGGAACUUGACGGGGUGCACUGUUUCGAAACCAUUCUUCCUUGCUAAAUCCAAAAUCAAAUCUGUCGCUGUCUGUGCAUGUUGUCUUUUUGUUGUAGCUUUGCACAAGAAAAGUUGUAAUCAUCGUUUGUAACGUGAUGAUUAAUCAAUGUAUGCACUACAAAUUGCCAACGUAAUAUUAUUAAAAUCAUAAUUUUGAAAGUUUAAUGAAUUAAUUAAAGUCUGCAAGUCCAAAGUUGCUUACCAUGGAAAGAAUCGGAUGCAUGUGGAUUGGGAUUUGGAUGUGGUAUGUGGAUUUGGAUGUGGUUGGCGGCACGUCCGAUAGUGGCGGGGUCACCGACUCUUCCACUUUAACCCAUGUAACACUCCAAAAGCUAACCUCAAGAAUCAGAUUAAUCGAAUCGGAUCAUUACCUUAAGUCGGGGUUAGUUAAUUUUGGAAGAUUUUAAAUGAAUGAGCGUUUUUAGGGAAGAUAUUUUUCGUUCUAAAA